rnacentral:rRNA from 1 species
GCGUGCUUAACACAUGCAAGUCGAACGAGAAGCCCACUUCGGUGGGUGGAGAGUGGCGCACGGGUGCGUAACACGUAGCUCACCUGCCCUCAAGACGGGAAUAACGGUUGGAAACAACCGCUAAUACCCGAUAAGCUCCCGCGCUGUAGAGGCGCGCGAGAAAAGGUUACGGCGCUUGAGGAUGGGGCUGCGGUCCAUCAGCUAGAUGGUGAGGUAACAGCUCACCAUGGCAACGACGGAUAGGGGACCUGAGAGGGUGACCCCCCACACUGGCACUGAGACACGGGCCAGACUCCUACGGGAGGCAGCAGUGAGGAAUAUUGCACAAUGGGCGCAAGCCUGAUGCAGCGACGCCGCGUGGGCGAUGAAGGUCUUCGGAUCGUAAAGCCCUUUUCUGCGUGACGAGAACGGACGGUAGCGCAGGAAUAAGUCUCGGCUAACUACGUGCCAGCAGCCGCGGUAAAACGUAGGAGGCGAGCGUUAUCCGGAGUUACUGGGCGUAAAGCGCGUGUAGGCGGCACAGAGGGUCUGAUAUGAAAGCUCCCAGGCUAGACCGGGAGAGGUCAUUGGAAACCGCUGUGCCAGAGGGUGAUAGAGGGGCGUGGAAUUCCGGGUGUAGUGGUGAAAUGCGUAGAGAUCCGGAGGAACACCAGUGGCGAAGGCGGCGCCCUGGGUCACACCUGACGCUGAGACGCGACAGCAUGGGGAGCGAACGGGAUUAGAAACCCCGGUAGUCCAUGCCGUAAACGAUGCACACUGGGUGUGCGGGCGGGGAAACCCGUUUGCGUGCCGAAGUUAACACGGUAAGUGUGCCGCCUGGGGAGUACGGUCGCAAGGCUAAAACUCAAAGGAAUUGACGGGGGCCCGCACAAGCAGCGGAGCGUGUGGUUUAAUUCGAAGCUACGCGAAGAACCUUACCCAGGCUUGACAUCCUCUGAACGACGUGGAAACACGAAGGUGCCCUCGGGCCAGAGUGACAGGUGCUGCAUGGCUGUCGUCAGCUCGUGCCGUGAGGUGUUCGGUUAAGUCCGCAAACGAGCGCAACCCCUGUGGUCAGUUAUACGUGUCUGGCCAGACUGCCCGUGAGAAACGGGAGGAAGGUGGGGAUGACGUCAAGUCAGCAUGGCCUUUAUGUCUGGGGCUACACACACGCUACAAUGGCGCGUACAGUGGGCAGCCAAGGCGCAAGCCGGAGCGAAUCCCCCAAAGCGCGUCGUAGUUCGGAUGGCAGGCUGCAACUCGCCUGCCUGAAGUCGGAGUUGCUAGUAACCGCAGAUCAGCCACGCUGCGGUGAAUACGUUCCCGGGCCUUGUACACACCGCCCGUCACGUCAUGGGAGCUGGUCACGCCUGAAGCCGGUGGGCUAACCGCAAGGAGGCAGCCGUCGAAGGCAGGGCUGGUGACUGGGACGAAGUC